UCAUUGGUGGUUCAGAGGUAGAAUUCUGGUUUUCCAUGCAGGAGACCUGGGUUCGAUUCCCGGCCAAUGCA
rnacentral:tRNA from 1 species